UGUCUGUUCCAAGAAAUGGCAGCGUUUUUUCUGUGCCUGUGGGUGCUCUCCACACUUAAAAAUAAGGCAAGAUCCUUUACCCCACACCAGCUCGGCUUGGUAGAUAGUCUGUUUCUCGUUUUAUGGAAGACAAGCCUGAGGAUCAGAGAGUCGAGUCAGUGUGGAAUGCGCAGCCACACCUACAGGAGAGCUGAGGAACUGGUGUAGGAGCCAGGGAGAGCAGAGGCUCAGCUGAGGUGAGGAGGGAACUGGAGGAGCCUGGCAGGCGAAUGCUGUCAUCCCAGCACUGGGGAGACUGAGACAGGCCUUUGAGACCAGGCAAGCCCGAGCUAUAUAACAGGAUCUUGUCUCAAUACUAAGGACAACAAGACAGGAAACAAUAAUGUCGGGGCUGCACUGUGUGGUGAACCCACCUUUAGUCCCGGCCCUCAAGAGUUAUAAAGUGAGAAUUUGUAUUAAAAAACAAAAACAAAGAAAAAAGACACCUCUCCAAACCAACGAGCCAAAACACCACACAGGGGUGAAAGAACACAUGGGCAGGAUGGGCGGGAUGUUUAUGCUGGGGGGAAAGGGGAAUUACUGGAAGCUUCUAGAGCCAGAACCGAAUGGAAACAAAACAGACAACCUGGAGUGCAAAGGCUACAGGAAAGGCAGGCACAGCCUGAGCAGCACAAAGUGCUACAAAAUGAAGUAGGGUUUCAUCUUUUGGCUUUAUUACUAGAGUGAAAGGCCUGCACCACCAUGCCUGACUUUCAAGACAACCUUUAUGAUACCCAG